rnacentral:tRNA from 1 species
CGUUGUCCUGCACCGGCUGGCGGUGGGUGGCGCUGUCGCGAAGCGCCUUGGCGACCGGAUCGACCGGCUUGGCUUCGUCGGCCAGGAUGUCGA